GUGCCAGCAGCCGCGGUAAUACAGAGGUCCCAAGCGUUGUUCGGAUUUACUGGGCGUAAAGGGUGCGUAGGCGGUUGGGUAAGUCUGACGUGAAAUCUCCGGGCCUAACCCGGAAACUGCGUUGGAUACUAUCCAGCUUGAGGAAUGGAGGGGAGACUGGAAUACUUGGUGUAGCAGUGAAAUGCGUAGAUAUCAAGUGGAACACCAGUGGCGAAGGCGAGUCUCUAGACAUUUCCUGACGCUGAGGCACGAAAGCCAGGGGAGCAAACGGGAUUAGAAACCCUCGUAGUCC
rnacentral:rRNA from 1 species